rnacentral:lncRNA from 1 species
CUUGCCACCUGGGAGGUAUGGGGUUGUUUAUAUCGUGAAUUGCCCCUCCUACCUGUGGAUGUGGCCUCCUCUUUUUCUUCUGGAGAAGGUUAUGGGUUUCCGGUCCAUUUGGGUGGAGAUUGCUCAGUCUUUGUUGAGAAUUUUGUUGUUUUUAGGAGAGAAGUUGAGCUCCAAACCUUCUAUUCUGCCAUCUUAAUCCCGGNCACCAGCACCACUUCUUAAAGAGACUGUCUUUCCUUCAUUGGCUAUUCUUGCCUCUAUUGUUGUAGAUUAGUUGACCAUAGGUGCAUGGGUUUAUUUCUGGGCUUUCUAUCCUGUUCCAUUGAUCUAUGUUUCUGUUUUUGUGCAAGUACCAUACUGUUUUGAUGACUGUAGCUUUGUAGUAAACUCUGAAGUUAGGGAGCCUGAUUCUUGCAGCACCAUUUUUCUAAGGAUUGCCUUGGCUUUUUAGGGAAGAUUCACCCCUUUAAAGUGUAUAUUGGUCUUUAGUCACAGUCAUGCCAUCAGCAGCAUGAUCUAAAUUUAGAACAUUUUUAUCACCCCCAAAAGAAACCUGGGAGUUCCCUAGUGGCCUGGUUAAGGAUCCAGCAUUGUCACUGCUGUGGCUCAGAUGUCUACUACCAUGGUGCAGGUUCGAUCCUUGGCCCAGGAACUUCUACAUGCCAUGAAUUCAGCCAACAAAACCAGAGAACAAAACCCAGUACCCAUUAGUAGUAGUCAUUUCCCACAUGGAUGAGUUUGCUUGUUAUUUGCUUCAUAAAUGGAAGUCAAACACUUAGUUUUAGGUGGCUUCUUUUAUGUCUUACUCCUUUGUUUCACCUUAAUGUUUUCUGAUACACAUCCUUGUGUGUGGUUGUGUGUGGUUCUUUCAUUCUCAGUCAAAACAGAUUGUUUUGUCCUGUUCUACCCCUGGUAGAUGAAUUGUUUCCAGUGUUUGUGGACAUUGCAUAUGCAUUUUUUUUUGGUGACUAUAAAUGUCUGUGGGGUAUAUACCAAGUUGAGAAAUUUCUGGGAUAUGGGAAAUGCAUGUACUAGAAGGUACUGCCAAGGAGUUUUCUAAAGGGUUUGUACCAGUUUACACGCCCCCACGCAGGAUUUGAGAGUUCCGGGUGCUCCACAUCCUGGCCUCUCCAGUUUAGCCGCUGUCGUCGCUUCUGAUGGGUUAAAAUGGUAUCAUGCUGUGGUUUUAAUUAGCAUUUCACUGAGGACGAGUAAAGUUGAGCAUUUUUCAUAUAUACUCAGUGGCCAUUUGGAUUUUAACUUUGGUGACGUUGCUGUUCAAGAUUUUAUUUUUGUUCACUUUUUUCUAUUGAAUUUCCUGUCUUUUUCUUACUGACUUACAGUUCUUUAUAUAUCCUGGCUAUGAGUCCUAUGUUAAAUAUGUAUUACAAAUGCUUUUGUUCUGUGCCCUGCCUUUGUGCUAGGUUUUCUCUGCAUAGGGGAAAUAAUCUUUUUUUUUUUUUCUCUUUGCUUUUUAGGGCUGCACCUUCAGCAUAUGGAGGUUCCUAGGCUAGGGGUCAAAACAGAGCUACAGAUGCCGGCCUAUGCCGUAGCCACGGGAACACAGAAUCUGAGCUGUGUCUGCGACCUACACCGCAGCUCAACGGCAAUGCCGGAUCCUUAACCCACUGAACAAGGCCAGGUGUCGAACCUGCAACCUCAUGGUUCCUAGUUAGAUUUGUUUCCACUGCACCACAGUGGGAACUCUGGGGAAAUAAUCUUAUAACCAGCUCAGAUAUUGAUGUAAACUUUGCUGUCUUUGCCAGAUAUUUUAUAAAAAUCAAGUCAUGUGAAUCUUAAAUAACAAUCUUUUCACAGUGGCAUGCCUGAAUAUAGAAUUUGAGAGAAGAAUAAAUUGUGAGUUUUUGUAUUUUUGUUAAACGUUAUAGAUUAUUAUUUCAUUAAGACUUGGUUUUUAUUUUUCUUCUUUCGACUUCCUAGUGUGUAUUACCAUAUAUGUGUGGUGUAGACACUGCCAGCUGCUUAUUCUGUUUUCAUUCUCUUCUCUAAUGACAGAGCCCUACUUUGUCAGAGCUGCAGUGUGCACAGUUGAAGCUGCUUGAUCUCCUGGGACCCUUUGAAGUUAGAGUUGGUUGUGUGACAGGUUCUGCCAAUAACAUGGAUACAAGUCUUGGAUGGGACUUCCAGGAAAACUUUUGCUUUUCUUAAGGGGAGGAAAAAAAAAAAAAAAAA